UACGUAGGGCGCAAGCGUUGUCCGGAUUUAUUGGGCGUAAAGAGCGUGUAGGCGGCCAGACAGGUCCGUUGUGAAAACUCGAGGCUCAACCUCGAGACGCCGAUGGAAACCGUCUGGCUAGAGUCCGGAAGAGGAGAGUGGAAUUCCCGGUGUAGCGGUGAAAUGCGCAGAUAUCGGGAAGAACACCCGUGGCUAAGGCGGCUCUCUAGUACGGUACUGACGCUGAGACGCGAAAGCGUGGGGAGCGAACAGG
rnacentral:rRNA from 1 species